rnacentral:rRNA from 1 species
GAUGAACGCUGGCGGCGUGCCUAAUACAUGCAAGUCGAGCGAACAGACGAGGAGCUUGCUCCUCUGACGUUAGCGGCGGACGGGUGAGUAACACGUGGAUAACCUACCUAUAAGACUGGGAUAACUUCGGGAAACCGGAGCUAAUACCGGAUAAUAUAUUGAACCGCAUGGUUCAAUAGUGAAAGACGGUUUUGCUGUCACUUAUAGAUGGAUCCGCGCCGCAUUAGCUAGUUGGUAAGGUAACGGCUUACCAAGGCAACGAUGCGUAGCCGACCUGAGAGGGUGAUCGGCCACACUGGAACUGAGACACGGUCCAGACUCCUACGGGAGGCAGCAGUAGGGAAUCUUCCGCAAUGGGCGAAAGCCUGACGGAGCAACGCCGCGUGAGUGAUGAAGAUCUUCGGAUCGUAAAACUCUGUUAUUAGGGAAGAACAAAUGUGUAAGUAACUAUGCACGUCUUGACGGUACCUAAUCAGAAAGCCACGGCUAACUACUUG